UUUUUUUUUUUUUUUCUUGGCUGCUUUUGAGCAUUUCUGAUGGGCCCCAGCAGAGUGAGCACUGGCUGUGCAUCCAAAUGUAGCAGGUACAGUGCAUCUGCACGCUGCACUGGGAUGUUAAUGAAUGUUGGCAGCAGGAGAUUGGCAAAGGAAGAGUCCUGUAAGAAAAGCCUUUUCUUUAAAAAAGUUCUUUUGUGUCCCAUGGCUGGGGAACAGAGUUUAGUGCAUGUCCAAUAGGUUGCAGACUGACUUUUCAUCACUGUGACUGUGAAUUUAUGUCCUAUUGUCCAAAGUGUUGGUAUAAACCUUGCACAACAGUCUGGAAGUGCCAGGUCUCCAGAGCAUGGGCUCUGAGGUACACCUCGUAUCUGCUCUGCCUUUUUCCACAGCCAGGAGUCCAGCUUAAUACAUGUGACUGAACCCAAGUCUCUGGGAUGUGUGUCUGCUGUCCCACGUGAAUAACAAAAUUCCAUCAGCUUUUUUUGUAGGGUUUGCUUUCAUGCCCUUCAUUAAAACAUUAACGGUGUUGCUCUCCUCUGUUCUAGCUGUGGCUGGCUUCCUUUGUACAUUCCUCCUGCACAAGAUGGUGUACUACAAAUGUGUAUUGAGCAGUAGGACAGAUCACCUCCAAGUGAGCGAACUCAGAGAAGUUUGGAGGCUUGUCCCUAACCACAUGCUGGCUCUAUGGUUCCCCUGAGGCAGAGCCAAGUCAAGAGUGCAGCCAGUCAUCCCUCAGACCGCUGCCACGUGCUCAAGUCAAACUGCUACAGACACCAAGAUGGUCUCCAGCACAGGGAUGCCCAAACUGUGCUCAGCAGACCUAAGGCUAUGUGAGGAUGGUUGGCCUGAUGAACUAAUGUUCAUUUCCAUUUUUGAGGAAUGCGGCUGAUGAAAGUAAGAUAAAACUAAGAGCAAAAGAAAAGCUUAAGGAAGUCAAAAAAGCAUGCAUAUUUUUAUAACAAUUCUUCCGUGCAUUAGUGGCUGUACCAGCAACAGAGGUAUAAUGUGAUCUGCGUUGAAAAGGAACAGGACUUGACAUUGAGUGAGAAAAGAAGUCACAGUAUGAUCUCUGUGUGGUGGUGUUAUCAAAAGUACUGAACAAACAACAUGGUGAGCAGUGGGACUCGAGGUGGGACACCUUUCCUGCACAGGCUUUCUACUGCCUGGCACCCAUACUGCUCUCUCCGUAUGGACCUUUCCUCAGCUGAUUUGGACAUCUCUUGUAGUCAUUAAGUUGGAGAACAUAAAUAUUGUUGGUGUCUCAAUCUCUUGUUAUAUUCAGCUGAAGUUGAUCUAUGGUUACAAAUGUUAGAGCGAGAUGAGGUGAGCCAGCUUUCUUCAAGAAGCCAAGAUAAAAGGGGUAAGACUGUCAGCCAAAAAAAUAGGGAAAGUUAAACUUCACAUAUCUCUCUGAUGAAAAACAAGCACAAUAUAUCUUUCAGAAAGAAAAA